AGUGUCAGAUCUAAUGUAUAGAUACUAUUGGCUAACGACUCAAACGAUUGAACUUAACAUGCAACCAGUUGCUUCUUUUGGACAUAAUUAUGUACAAAUAAAGUGCAUCAUGUACAUGUGUAUAAUAUAUAUAACUAUUUAUUGAAUUAUACUUUAUAAAAGAAUUUUGCUUAUUUUUUUUUUUCAUUUCUUUCAGAGGUUAUUCCUAACAAAGAAAAAGUUUACCCAAUGUUAGAAGUUCUGGCCAGAGUUUAAAGAGUUCUAUGUAUUAAUAAAAAAGACAACAGACGAAACAUCUGGGAGCUUCUGCAGAAAAAAGAAGAAAGAGGAAUUAAAGGUUACCAAGAGGAACAAUGAAGAGAGAAAUGAAUUGUUACAUGGCAAUGAAGAAUAAACUCCUGAGAACAAAUUAAUGAAGUUUUUGUUAUUAUUUUUUUUAUAUGCCUGGUAUACAUCUGCAAUAGUAUGCUGAUGAUCUAUACAUUGAUAUCAAGGAAUAGUUUGCAAUAUGAAGCACACUGUACGUAAUAUAUUUGAAAUGAAAGCUUAAUUACUGAAAAUUGCUAACAAAAAAUUAUAUAUAAAUUUCAUAUAUAAAAUGCAACACAUAUAUUACACAUAUAGAAUAUGUGUUUUACACAUAUAAAAUAUGCUAUGUUUAAUUUCACACAUGUUUGACACAUAUUAAACACAUGUUAAACAUGUGUGGAAUUAAACACUUUUUAUAUGUGUGCUCUUUUUAUGUGUUUUACACGUGUAAAAUAUAUAUGUAAAAUAUAUGUUAAA